AUUGAACGCUGGCGGCAGGCCUAACACAUGCAAGUCGAGCGGAUGAAGGGAGCUUGCUCCCUGAUUUAGCGGCGGACGGGUGAGUAAUGCCUAGGAAUCUGCCUUGUAGUGGGGGACAACGUUUUGAAAGGAACGCUAAUACCGCAUACGUCCUACGGGAGAAAGUGGGGGAUCUUCGGACCUCACGCUAUCAGAUGAGCCUAGGUCGGAUUAGCUAGUUGGUGAGGUAAAGGCUCACCAAGGCGACGAUCCGUAACUGGUCUGAGAGGAUGAUUAGUCAGACUGGAACAGAGACACGGACCAGACUCCUACGGGAGGCAGCAGUGGGGAAUAUUGGACAAUGGGCGAAAGCCUGAUCCAGCCAUGCCGCGUGUGUGAAGAAGGUCUUCGGAUUGUAAAGCACUUUAAGUUGGGAGGAAGGGCAGUAAGUUAAUACCUUGCUGUUUUGACGUUACCAACAGAAUAAGCACCGGCUAACCUCGUGCCAGCCGCCGCAGUAAUAC
rnacentral:rRNA from 1 species